rnacentral:rRNA from 1 species
UACGCAGGGGGCUAGCGUUGCUCGGAAUUACUGGGCGUAAAGGGCGCGUAGGCGGAUAGUUUAGUCAGAGGUGAAAGCCCAGGGCUCAACCUUGGAAUUGCCUUUGAUACUGGCUAUCUUGAGUUCGGGAGAGGUGAGUGGAAUGCCGAGUGUAGAGGUGAAAUUCGUAGAUAUUCGGCGGAACACCAGUGGCGAAGGCGACUCACUGGCCCGAUACUGACGCUGAGGCGCGAAAGCGUGGGGAGCAAACAGG